rnacentral:tRNA from 1 species
GUGACCUUAGCUCAGCUGGGAGAGCGUCAGACUGAAGUUACACUUCCGGUCUUGUUAUCUGAAGGUCGUGUGUUCGAUCCACACAGGUCACA